rnacentral:rRNA from 1 species
UGCCAGCCGCCGCGGUAAUACGAAGGGUGCUAGCGUUGUUCGGAAUUACUGGGCGUAAAGAGCAUGUAGGCGGAUGAAUUAGUCAGAGGUGAAAGCCCUGGGCUCAACCUGGGAACUGCAUGGGAUACUGGCAUUCUAGAAUACAGUAGGGGGAGGUGGAAUUUCAGGUGUAGCGGUGAAAUGCGUAGAGAUCUGAAGGAACAUCAGUGGCGAAGGCGGCUUACUGGACCAGAACUGACGCUGAGGCACGAAAGCGUGGGGAGCAAACAGGAUUAGAUA